rnacentral:lncRNA from 1 species
ACAUGGGGCUCGAUGACAGACGCAACAACACGUGCAGAUUGUUUUUAAUACAGUUCCUGCAAAUGACAGCUAUCAAAAUCACUCAUAACAUGCAGUGGAUGCAAAGACAAUGCAGCUGUCAAGCACCACCGGAUCAGUGAAGUGUUGUGGACUGUAAGUCUGUUGAACAGAAGCAGAGACGAGUGGACAGACACUGACUGUACUGAUGAUGAUCAUCUGCUGCUGCACAGCAGUAAUGAAGUAUAACCCCUGCUGGACAUGGCUCCGGAAGCUCCAGGGGGAGACCGAACUGGUAUCCCCACCUCUCCAGGCACAACUCACUCACUGUGCACUCAUAUUGCAAAGAUCCGGCUGGGAUCGAUCCAGCAACCAUUAAAGUCAUGGGGCAGCGAUCUUACCACAGAGCCACUGAUCUCCUGUCUGGAUGCCUGCUGGAAUUUAUGUCACUGCUGACCUGUUUCAAUAAAACAAUAUAUACGUCA